UGCGGAAGGAUCAUUAUUGAAUUUUGAAUGGGGUUGUAGCUGGCCUUUCAAAGGGCAUGUGCACGCCUCGCUUCAAUCCACUUACCCCUGUGAACACUCUGUAGGUCGGCUCAAGGGACAAAUUCUUAACGGGGUUUGUUUUGGGCCUUCCUAUGUUUUAUUACAAACGUUUAAAGUCUAAAGAAUGUACUCGCGUCUAACGCAUUAUAUACAACUUUCAGCAACGGAUCUCUUGGCUCUCGCAUCGAUGAAGAACGCAGCGAAAUGCGAUAAGUAAUGUGAAUUGCAGAAUUCAGUGAAUCAUCGAAUCUUUGAACGCACCUUGCGCUCCUUGGUAUUCCGAGGAGCAUGCCUGUUUGAGUGUCAUGGAAUUAUCAACUUGUUUAUCUUUGUAUGAACGCAGUUGGAUUUGGAGGCCAUUGCCGGAUUGUAAUGACUCGGCUCCUCUUGAAUGCAUUAGCUCGAACCUUUGCGGAUCAGCUUUUGGUGUGAUAAUUGUCUACGCCGCUAACUGAGACACAUGAAUGGGAUCGGCUUACAGUCGUCCUUGAACGGACAAUUUAUUAUGACUUCUGACCUCAAAUCAGGUAGGAUUACCCGCUGAACUUAAGCAUAUC
rnacentral:rRNA from 1 species